UGGCGACAAUAGCAAGAGUGAACCACCUGAUCCCUUCCCGAACUCAGAAGUGAAACCUCUUAGCGCUGAUGGUAGUGUGGGAUUACCCAUGUGAGAGUAAGUCAUCGCCAGCUC
rnacentral:rRNA from 1 species